UAACAUAUUCCCGUGAAGCAUGGUGACCCACUCGGUUUCAGGCCGGGGCAAGCUCCUAAUCUCCCACAAAAGUGACUCCACCGCGUGAACCGCAACAGUACCCAUAAUAGGUAUCACCACAAACUCCUAUGCUCCUCAAUUAUGUACUCGCAACAAGUACCAAACAGGGAACGUCUGAGAGCGAACCCAAGCCCCUAAUCCAAAGAUUGGGUUGUGUAAAGCUCAACCCCGUCAAAUAUCCCAAAAACACCUUCUCCUGCCAGUUCUAAUC
rnacentral:lncRNA from 1 species